CAAACGGCCUUUUUCAAGGCCACCAAACUGGUCCCGAAAGAAUCAUU
rfam:Culex pipiens quinquefasciatus supercont3.503 genomic scaffold, whole genome shotgun sequence.